UGGGGAAUUUUGGACAAUGGGCGAAAGCCUGAUCCAGCAAUGCCGCGUGUGUGAAGAAGGCCUUCGGGUUGUAAAGCACUUUUGUCCGGAAAGAAAUCCUUGGCUCUAAUACAGUCGGGGGAUGACGGUACCGGAAGAAUAAGCACCGGCUAACUACGUGCCAGCAGCCGCGGUAAUACGUAGGGUGCAAGCGUUAAUCGGAAUUACUGGGCGUAAAGCGUGCGCAGGCGGUUUGCUAAGACCGAUGUGAAAUCCCCGGGCUCAACCUGGGAACUGCAUUGGUGACUGGCAGACUAGAGUAUGGCAGAGGGGGGUAGAAUUCCACGUGUAGCAGUGAAAUGCGUAGAGAUGUGGAGGAAUACCGAUGGCGAAGGCAGCCCCCUGGGCCAAUACUGACGCUCAUGCACGAAAAGCGUGGGGAGCAAACAGGAUUAGAUACCCUGGUAGUCCACGCCCUAAACGAUGUCAACUAGUUGUUGGGGAUUCAUUUCCUUAGUAACGUAGCUAACGCGUGAAGUUGACCGCCUGGGGAGUACGGUCGCAAGAUUAAAACUCAAAUGAAUUGACGGGGUCAUAGCUGUUUCCU
rnacentral:rRNA from 1 species